GCAGUUAUGGCGGAAUUGGUAUACGCGCUAGACUAAGGAUCUAGUGUCCAUUUUAGCGACUUGUGGGUUCGAGUCCCACUAACUGCA
rnacentral:tRNA from 1 species